GGGGUUGUGGCUUAGGGGUGGAGUGCUUGCCUAUCAUGCAUGAGGCACUGCGUUUGAUCCUUAGCAGCUCAG
rnacentral:tRNA from 1 species